rnacentral:rRNA from 1 species
AGCGAACGCUGGCGGCAGGCCUAACACAUGCAAGUCGAACGGAUCCUUCGGGAUUAGUGGCGGACGGGUGAGUAACACGUUGGAACGUGCCCUUUGGUUCGGAACAACUCAGGGAAACUUGAGCUAAUACCGGAUGUGCCCUUCGGGGGAAAGAUUUAUCGCCAUUGGAGCGGCCCGCGUCUGAUUAGCUAGUUGGUGAGGUAACGGCCCACCAAGGCGACGAUCAGUAGCUGGUCUGAGAGGAUGAUCAGCCACACUGGGACUGCGACACGGCACAGACUCCUACGGGAGGCAGCAGUGGGGAAUCUUGCGCAAUGGGCGAAAGCCUGACGAAGCCAUGCCGCGUGAAUGAUGAAGGUCUUAGGAUUGUAAAAUUCUUUCAGCGGGGACGAUAAUGACGGUACCCGCAGAAGAAGCUCCGGCUAACUUCGUG